CUCUUAUCAAGAGAGGUGGAGGGACUGAGCCCUGUGAAACCCGGCAACCGUCAACUUUUAUGUUGAAAUGGUGCCAAUUCCUGCAAAGCGAAUGCUUUGAAAGAUGAGAG
rnacentral:ncRNA from 1 species